rnacentral:rRNA from 1 species
UACAGAGGGUGCGAGCGUUGUCCGGAAUCACUGGGCGUAAAGGGCGCGUAGGCGGCUCAGUAAGGUUGCGGUGAAAGCCCGGGGCUCAACCCCGGGUCGGCCGUGGCAACUGCUGGGCUGGAGCACUGUAGAGGCAGGUGGAAUUCCGGGUGUAGCGGUGGAAUGCGUAGAGAUCCGGAAGAACACCGGUGGCGAAGGCGGCCUGCUGGGCAGUAGCUGACGCUGAUGCGCGACAGCGUGGGGGAGCAAACAGG